rnacentral:lncRNA from 1 species
AGGCUGUCAAUGGGGCAUGUUGGUUGUGCUGGUGGUGGAUAUGGCACCACUGGUGGUGGUGGUGGUGGUGGACAUGGUGUUUCACUUGGAGGGUUUGGUGGAGUCACAAUGGGUGGUAAUGGUGGCACAGGGACUACAGGUGGAUACACAAUAGGUGGUGUCACAAUUGGUGGUGUUGGUACUACAGGUGGAUAAACAAUGGGUGGUUUUGGCACAUAAGGUGGUGUAACUGGCACAACUGGUGGUUUUGGGAUAUAUGGUGGUCUAACUGGGACAACAGGUGGUUUUGGGACAUAAGGAGGGUUCACAAUUGGUGGUUUUGGAACAUAUGGUGGUGUAACUGGCACAACUGGUGGUUUUGGGACAUAGGGAGGGUUCACAACUGGUGGCUUCGGGACAUAGGGUGGUUUAACAACUGGUGGUUUUGGGACAUAAGGUGGAUGUGGAUGCAGUGGAGGCUUAGGGUGAGGUUUUGGGACAUGGGGUGGAUGUGGAUGAACUGGUGGUUUAGGGUAGUGAGGAGGUUUUGGGACAUAGGGUGGGUGUACAUGGGGUGGUUUUGGAGAUGACUUGGGUG